AGUCGAGCGGUACACAGAGGAGCUUGCUCCUUGGGUGACGAGCGGCGGACGGGUGAGUAAUGCCUGGGGAUCUGCCCGAUAGAGGGGGAUAACUACGGGAAACUGUAGCUAAUACCGCAUAAUGUCUACGGACCAAAGUGGGGGCUCUUCGGACCUCAUGCUAUCGGAUGAACCCAGGUGGGAUUAGCUAGUUGGUGAGGUAAUGGCUCACCAAGGUGACGAUCUCUAACUGGUUUGAGAGAAUGACCAGUCACACUGGAACUGAGACACGGUCCAGACUCCUACGGGAGGCAGCAGUGGGGAAUAUUGCACAAUGGGCGCAAGCCUGAUGCAGCCAUGCCGCGUGUGUGAAGAAGGCCUUCGGGUUGUAAAGCGCUUUCAGCGGGGAGGAAGGGUCACUAGUUAAUACCUAGUGGCAUUGACGUUACCCGCAGAAGAAGCACCGGCUAACUCCGUGCCAGCAGCCGCGGUAAUACGGAGGGUGCAAGCGUUAAUCGGAAUUACUGGGCGUAAAGCGCACGCAGGCGGUUUGUUAAGUCAGAUGUGAAAUCCCCGGGCUCAACCUGGGAACUGCAUCUGAUACUGGCAAGCUUGAGUCUCGUAGAGGGGGGUAGAAUUCCAGGUGUAGCGGUGAAAUGCGUAGAGAUCUGGAGGAAUACCGGUGGCGAAGGCGGCCCCCUGGACGAAGACUGACGCUCAGGUGCGAAAGCGUGGGGAGCAAACAGGAUUAGAUACC
rnacentral:rRNA from 1 species